GUUGGCCUCAGAUCAGGGAGGAUCACCCGCCGAA
rnacentral:sRNA from 1 species